rnacentral:tRNA from 1 species
GCCGCUGUAGCUCAAUGGUAGAGCAGCACGGAAGCAAAACUGUGGGCGAUGCCGGUUCGACCCCGGCCAGCGGCU